rnacentral:rRNA from 1 species
GAGGAAUAUUGGUCAAUGGACGGAAGUCUGAACCAGCCAAGUAGCGUGCAGGAAGACGGCCCUAUGGGUUGUAAACUGCUUUUGUAUGGGGAUAAAGUCAAUCACGUGUGAUUGUUUGCAGGUACCAUACGAAUAAGGACCGGCUAAUUCCGUGCCAGCAGCCGCGGUAAUACGGAAGGCUCGGGCGUUAUCCGGAUUUAUUGGGUUUAAAGGGAGCGUAGGCCGGAGAUUAAGUGUGUUGUGAAAUGUAGACGCUCAACGUCUGACUUGCAGCGCAUACUGGUUUCCUUGAGUACGCACAACGUUGGCGGAAUUCGUCGUGUAGCGGUGAAAUGCUUAGAUAUGACGAAGAACUCCGAUUGCGAAGGCAGCUGACGGGAGCGCAACUGACGCUGAAGCUCGAAGGUGCGGGUAUCGAACAGGAUUAGAUACCCUGGUAGUCCGCACAGUAAACGAUGGAUGCCCGCUGUUGGUACCUAGUAUCAGCGGCUAAGCGAAAGCAUUAAGCAUCCCACCUGGGGAGUACGCCGGCAACGGUG